GUCCCACGGGAGGACACCAGUGGGGAAUUUUGCGCAAUGGGCGAAAACCAGACGCAGCGACGCCGCGUGGGGGAAGAAGGCCUUUGGUGUUGAAAACCUGCUUUCAGGAGAGGACGAAGCCUCUCGGGUUAAUCCCCCAGAGGUGUGACGGUACCUCCAGAAGAAGCCCCGGCUAACUAUGUGCCAGCAGCCGCGGUAAUACGUAGGGGGCUAGCGUUGUUCGGAUUUAUUGGGCGUAAAGGGCGUGUAGGCGGCCAGGUAAGUCUGUUGUGAAAACUCUAGGCUCAACCUCGAGACGUCGGCGGAAACCGUCGGUCUUGAGUCCGGCAGAGGAGAGUGGAAUUCCCGGUGUAGCGGUGAAAUGCGCAGAUAUCAGGAGGAACACCCGUGGCGAAGGCGGCGUCUAUGGGGCGGUACUGACGCUGAGACGCGAAAGCAAGGGGAGCAAACGGGAUCAGGUACCCUGGUAGUCCGCGCCGGCCCCCGAAGGGGGGGCGGUGUUUCUCAGGUUUGGGCCCCCC
rnacentral:rRNA from 1 species